ACACUCCUGCGAGAGGCAGCAGUGGGGAAUUUUGGACAAUGGGCGAAAGCCUGAUCCAGCAAUGCCGCGUGAGUGAAGAAGGCCUUCGGGUUGUAAAGCUCUUUUGUCAGGGAAGAAACGGUGAAAGCUAAUAUCUUUUGCUAAUGACGGUACCUGAAGAAUAAGCACCGGCUAACUACGUGCCAGCAGCCGCGGUAAUACGUAGGGUGCAAGCGUUAAUCGGAAUUACUGGGCGUAAAGCGUGCGCAGGCGGUUUUGUAAGUCUGAUGUGAAAUCCCCGGGCUCAACCUGGGAAUUGCAUUGGAGACUGCAAGGCUAGAAUCUGGCAGAGGGGGGUAGAAUUCCACGUGUAGCAGUGAAAUGCGUAGAUAUGUGGAGGAACACCGAUGGCGAAGGCAGCCCCCUGGGUCAAGAUUGACGCUCAUGCACGAAAGCGUGGGGAGCAAACAGGAUUAGAAACCACAGUAGUCCCAUGAU
rnacentral:rRNA from 1 species